rnacentral:tRNA from 1 species
GGCCGCUUAGUUUAGGGGUAUAAUACUCGCUUUGGGUUGACUCGAAUGCGAGAGGUCAUCGGUUCGAAUCCGGUAGCGGCCC